UACGGAGGGGGCUAGCGUUGUCCGGAUUUAUUGGGCGUAAAGAGCUCGUAGGCGGCUCAGUAAGUCGGGUGUGAAACCUCCAGGCUCAACCUGGAGACGCCACCCGAUACUGCUGUGGCUUGAGUCCGGUAGGGGAGCGUGGAAUUCCUGGUGUAGCGGUGAAAUGCGCAGAUAUCAGGAGGAACACCAGCGGCGAAGGCGGCGCUCUGGGCCGGAACUGACGCUGAGGAGCGAAAGCGUGGGUAGCAAACAGG
rnacentral:rRNA from 1 species